rnacentral:rRNA from 1 species
AACGAACGCUGGCGGCAUGCCUAACACAUGCAAGUCGAACGAGACCUUCGGGUCUAGUGGCGCACGGGUGCGUAACGCGUGGGAACAUGAACUUAGGUUCGGAAUAACUCCCCGAAAGGGGUACUAAUACCGGAUAAUGUCUACGGCCGAAAGAUUUAUCGAAUUUGGAUGGACGCGCGUUGGAUUAGGUAGUUGGUAGGGUAAAAGACUACCAAGGCGACAAUCCAUAGCUGGUCUGAGAGAAUGAUCAGCCACACUGGGACUGAGACACGGCCCAGACUCCUACGGAAUGCAGCAGUGGGGAAUAUUGGACCAUGGGCGAAAGCCUGAUCCAGCAAUGCCGCGUGAGCGAUGAAGGCCUUAAGGUUGUAAAGCGCUUUUACCCGUGAUGAUAAUGACAGUACCGGGAGAAUAAGCUCCGGCUAACUCCGUG